rnacentral:rRNA from 1 species
AACGGGGGGGGACAAGCGUUAUUCAUAAGGACUGGGCGUAAAGGGUUCGUAGGUGGUACAUUAAGAUGUUAGUGAAAGACUUAGGGCUUAACCUUAAGACGCUAACGAAUACUGUUGUACUAGAGAUAUGCAGAGGACAGUGGUACUCUUGAAGGAGAGGUAAAAAUUCGUCGAUAUCAACGGGGACCAGCAACUGGCGAAGGCGACUGUCUGGGCAUAUCUGACGCUGAGGGACGAAAGCAUGGGGAGCGAACAGG